rnacentral:rRNA from 1 species
AGUGAACGCUGGCGGUAGGCCUAACACAUGCAAGUCGAACGGCAGCACCGUAAGAGCUUGCUCUUACGGGUGGCGCGUGGCGGACGAGUGAGGAAUACAUCGGAAUCUACUUUUUCGUGGGGGAUAACGUAGGGAAACUUACGCUAAUACCGCAUACGACCUACGGGUGAAAGCAGGGGAUCUUCGGACCUUGCGCGAUUGAAUGAGCCGAUGUCGGAUUAGCUAGUUGGCGGGGUAAAGGCCCACCAAGGCGACGAUCCGUAGCUGGUCUGAGAGGAUGAUCAGCCACACUGGAACUGAGAAACGGUACAGACUCCUACGGGAGGCAGCAGUGGGGACUAUUGGACAAUGGGCGAAAGCCUGAUCCAGCCAUACCGCGUGGGUGAAGAAGGCCUUAGGGUUGUAAAGCCCUGUUGUUGGGAGAGAAAAGCAGCAGGUUAAUACCCCGCGGUACUGACGGUACCCAAAGAAUAAGCACCGGCUAACUUCGUG